rnacentral:rRNA from 1 species
GACGAACGCUGGCGGCGUGCCUAAUACAUGCAAGUCGAGCGAACCUCUAAAAGCUUGCUUUUAAAGGUUAGCGGCGGACGGGUGAGUAACACGUGGGCAACCUGCCUGUAAGACUGGGAUAACUUCGGGAAACCGGAGCUAAUACCGGAUGAUCUGUUCCCUCGCAUGAGGGAAUUCUGAAAGACGGCGCAAGCUGUCACUUACAGAUGGGCCCGCGGCGCAUUAGCUAGUUGGUGAGGUAACGGCUCACCAAGGCGACGAUGCGUAGCCGACCUGAGAGGGUGAUCGGCCACACUGGGACUGAGACACGGCCCAGACUCCUACGGGAGGCAGCAGUAGGGAAUCUUCCGCAAUGGACGAAAGUCUGACGGAGCAACGCCGCGUGAGCGAAGAAGGCCUUCGGGUCGUAAAGCUCUGUUGUCAGGGAAGAACAAGUACCGGAGUAACUGCCGGUACCUUGACGGUACCUGACCAGAAAGCCACGGCUAACUACGUGCCAGCAGCCGCAGUAAUAC